AUUAACAAUUUUGUAAUCUAAUCACAAAUAUUCUAACUAUCUUAGAGAGACUUCUAAUUUGAGAUCUAAGUAUAUAAUAACCUUCUAUUCAUGCUUAUAUGACAAUUUUAACUCUCAUAUGAUUAGUCACUGAUUAUGUAUCUUUCAACAUAUAUAUUAAAUGUUGAAGGAUGUCCCAUUAAUACAUGUUAAUGCAUAAUUAAUUGGACAUCUUCUAAGACGUUGAUUGAUCAAAUGUUGAAAGAAUGCACAAUUAGUAGGAUAAGUAAUGAAUCUUUUAGCAUUUUUGGAUAAUGUUGAAAAUAAUGAAAGAUGAAUAAUUAAUUGAAUAACUACUUAUUCUUUAAACAUUUUUGAAAAUAUUGAAUACUUU
rnacentral:lncRNA from 1 species